rnacentral:rRNA from 1 species
UUAAGUUAAUAAGGGCGCACGGUGGAUGCCUUGGCACUAGAAGCCGAUGAAGGACGUGACUAACGACGAAAUGCUUUGGGGAGCUGUAAGUGAGCAAUGAUCCAGAGAUGUCCGAAUGGGGGAACCCGGCAGGUAAUGCCUGUCACUCAUUACUGUUAAGGUAAUGUAGAGGAAGACGCAGUGAACUGAAACAUCUAAGUAGCUGUAGGAAGAGAAAGCAAAAGCGAUUGCCUUAGUAGCGGCGAGCGAAACGGCAAGAGGGCAAACCGAAGAGUUUACUCUUCGGGGUUGUAGGACUGCAACGUGGACUUAAAGAUUAUAGAAGAACUACCUGGGAAGGUAGGCCAAAGAGAGUAAUAGCCUCGUAUUCGAAAUAGUCUUUAUACCUAGCAGUAUCCUGAGUACGGCGAGACACGAGAAAUCUCGUCGGAAUCUGGGAGGACCAUCUCCCAACCCUAAAUACUCUCUAGUGACCGAUAGUGAACCAGUACCGUGAGGGAAAGGUGAAAAGCACCCCGGGAGGGGAGUGAAAUAGAACCUGAAACCGUGUGCCUACAACAAGUUCGAGCCCGUUAAUGGGUGAGAGCGUGCCUUUUGUAGAAUGAACCGGCGAGUUACGAUAUGAUGCGAGGUUAAGUUGAAGAGACGGAGCCGUAGGGAAACCGAGUCUUAAUAGGGCGCAUUAGUAUCAUGUCGUAGACCCGAAACCAUGUGACCUACCCAUGAGCAGGUUGAAGGUGAGGUAAAACUCACUGGAGGACCGAACCAGGGCACGUUGAAAAGUGCUUGGAUGACUUGUGGGUAGCGGAGAAAUUCCAAACGAACUUGGAGAUAGCUGGUUCUCUCCGAAAUAGCUUUAGGGCUAGCGUCGAUGUUAAGUCUCUUGGAGGUAGAGCACUGUUUGGGUGAGGGGUCCAUCCCGGAUUACCAAUCUCAGAUAAACUCCGAAUGCCAAUGAGAUAUAAUCGGCAGUCAGACUGCGAGUGCUAAGAUCCGUAGUCGAAAGGGAAACAGCCCAGACCACCAGCUAAGGUCCCAAAAUAUAUGUUAAGUGGAAAAGGAUGUGGGGUUGCACAGACAACUAGGAUGUUAGCUUAGAAGCAGCUAUUCAUUCAAAGAGUGCGUAAUAGCUCACUAGUCGAGUGACCCUGCGCCGAAAAUGUACCGGGGCUAAAACAUAUUACCGAAGCUGUGGAUACCUUUAUAGGUAUGGUAGGAGAGCGUUCUAUGUGCGAAGAAGGUGUACCGUGAGGAGUGCUGGAGCGCAUAGAAGUGAGAAUGCCGGUAUGAGUAGCGAAAGACAGGUGAGAAUCCUGUCCACCGUAAGACUAAGGUUUCCAGGGGAAGGCUCGUCCGCCCUGGGUUAGUCGGGACCUAAGGAGAGACCGAAAGGUGUAUCCGAUGGACAACAGGUUGAUAUUCCUGUACUAGAGUAUAUAGUGAUGGAGGGACGCAGUAGGCUAACUAAACCAGACGAUUGGAAGUGUCUGGCCAAGCAGUGAGGUGUGAUAUGAGUCAAAUGCUUAUAUCUUUAACAUUGAGCUGUGAUGGGGAGCGAAGUUUAGUAGCGAAGUUAGUGAUGUCACACUGCCGAGAAAAGCUUCUAGCGUUAAUUAUACUCUACCCGUACCGCAAACCGACACAGGUAGUCGAGGCGAGUAGCCUCAGGUGAGCGAGAGAACUCUCGUUAAGGAACUCGGCAAAAUGGCCCCGUAACUUCGGGAGAAGGGGCGCUGACUGAUGGUCAGCCGCAGUGAAUAGGCCCAAGCAACUGUUUAUCAAAAACACAGCUCUCUGCUAAAUCGUAAGAUGAUGUAUAGGGGGUGACGCCUGCCCGGUGCUGGAAGGUUAAGAGGAGUGCUUAGCGUAAGCGAAGGCAUGAAUUGAAGCCCCAGUAAACGGCGGCCGUAACUAUAACGGUCCUAAGGUAGCGAAAUUCCUUGUCGGGUAAGUUCCGACCCGCACGAAAGGCGUAAUGAUUUGGGCACUGUCUCAACGAGAGACUCGGUGAAAUUUUAGUACCUGUGAAGAUGCAGGUUACCCGCGACAGGACGGAAAGACCCCAUGGAGCUUUACUGCAGUUUGAUAUUGAGUAUCUGUACCACAUGUACAGGAUAGGUAGGAGCCUAUGACCUCGGGACGCCAGUUUCGAGUGAGGCGUUGUUGGGAUACUACCCUUGUGUUAUGGCUACUCUAACCCAGAUAGGUUAUCCCUAUCGGAGACAGUGUCUGACGGGCAGUUUGACUGGGGCGGUCGCCUCCUAAAAGGUAACGGAGGCGCCCAAAGGUUCCCUCAGAAUGGUUGGAAAUCAUUCGCAGAGUGUAAAGGUAUAAGGGAGCUUGACUGCGAGAGCUACAACUCGAGCAGGGACGAAAGUCGGGCUUAGUGAUCCGGUGGUUCCGUAUGGAAGGGCCAUCGCUCAACGGAUAAAAGCUACCCUGGGGAUAACAGGCUUAUCUCCCCCAAGAGUUCACAUCGACGGGGAGGUUUGGCACCUCGAUGUCGGCUCGUCGCAUCCUGGGGCUGUAGUCGGUCCCAAGGGUUGGGCUGUUCGCCCAUUAAAGCGGCACGCGAGCUGGGUUCAGAACGUCGUGAGACAGUUCGGUCCCUAU